GUUGGGUCUCUGAUGAAGGCUUUCUAGUUAAUAAGAAUUCUGCAACAAGUUUCUCUAACAUUGCAGCUGUUACAUACAGUGCUGAUGGGGCAGCGCCAGAGAUUGCUCCAAAUGUUGUCUACGGUACCCUCACUGAGAUGAACUCGAAAGAUGAUCCAAACAGCAAUUUCAAUGUGACAUGGCGGUUUAAAGUGGAUCCUGAGUUUCAGUA
rnacentral:misc_RNA from 1 species